rnacentral:rRNA from 1 species
UAAUACGGAGGAUGCGAGCGUUAUCCGGAUUUAUUGGGUUUAAAGGGUGCGUAGGCGGCCCCUUAAGUCAGCGGUAAAAUUUCUGCGCUCAACGCAGUCUGGCCGUUGAAACUGGGGGGCUUGAGUCUGGAUGAAGUGGGCGGAAUUUGUAGUGUAGCGGUGAAAUGCUUAGAUAUUACAAGGAACUCCGAUUGCGCAGGCAGCUCACUAAGCCAUCACUGACGCUGAAGCACGAAAGCGUGGGUAUCAAACAGGAUUAGAUACCCUGGUAGUCCACGCAGUAAACGAUGAUCACUCGCUGUCUGCGAUAUACUGUAGGCGGCUUAGCGAAAGCGUUAAGUGAUCCACCUGGGGAGUACGCCGGCAACGGUGAAACUCAAAGGAAUUGACGG